rnacentral:lncRNA from 1 species
UUUACUAUGUUCGUGAGAUGAAAUAGAAUAUUUUCUCUUCUAUCAUGUGUGUUGAAUACAUCUGUUAUAUAUGUUUCGUAUAAUUAAGUGUCCCUAAAAAAACCACGUCUCUUAUAUUUUGAAGUGGAACUGGCAGCCUGUUACGUGAAGGGAUAGAACCGGUUUGAUUGAGACCAAAAAAUCUGACAUUAAAUUAUGUCAAAAUCAAUGUUAGUUCUUUAAUUUGUCUCUCAAAUAUGGCUAUCUCGCCAAUAAACCCAUUGCAAAACUAGGAGCUA